GGCGGCGUGCUUAACACAUGCAAGUCGAACGGUGAAGCUCCAGCUYGCUGGAGUGGAUCAGUGGCGAACGGGUGAGUAACACGUGAGUAACCUGCCCCAGACUCUGGAAUAAGCGCUGGAAACUGCGUCUAAUACUGGAUACGAGACCAACCUGCAUGGGUGUGGUCUGGAAAGUUUUUACGGUUUGGGAUGGGCUCGCGGCCUAUCAGCUUGUUGGUGGGGUAAUGGCUCACCAAGGCGACGACGGGUAGCCGGCCUGAGAGGGCGACCGGCCACACUGGGACUGAGACACGGCCCAGA
rnacentral:rRNA from 1 species